CACGUAGGGCGCAAGCGUUGUCCGGAAUUAUUGGGCGUAAAGAGCUCGUAGGCGGUCUGUUGCGUCCGCUGUGAAAACUCGGGGCUUAACCCCGAGCCUGCAGUGGAUACGGGCAGACUAGAGGUAGGUAGGGGAGAAUGGAAUUCCCGGUGUAGCGGUGAAAUGCGCAGAUAUCGGGAGGAACACCGGUGGCGAAGGCGGCAUCCUGGACCGAUUACGUGACGCUGAGGCGCGAAAGCUAGGGGAGCAAAGCGGG
rnacentral:rRNA from 1 species